UCACCCCGCCGCCGCCACCUCCUCCCUUCCCUUCUUCUUCUUCUCCCCCGCGCCCGCGCAUAUUCGCAUCGCAUAAAUCGCACCCAAACGGGCGGAGGGAGGGAGGGAUAGCAUCCUUCUUGAGCGGGUUGGGCCAACUCGAGCUGCUUCUAGGCCUUUGGGUGGAGUGGGGUGGGGUUGGGUGUGAUGGCUGCGGCGGCGGCGGCGGAGACGUCGGAGGCGUCCACGGCCGGGCUCGCGCUCGCGGAUGCCAACAUCAACUGGGAGAGGUUGGACAAGACAAGGUUCCAUGUCAUUGGAGCUAUCCUAUUUACUGCUCAGCAAGGUGCUCUGCACCCAACAGCUGUUGUGAAGACAAGGAUGCAGGUUGCAGAAGGAGGGCUUUCACACAUGUCUGGCUUCACUGUUUUCAGAAGGAUACUGAGAAGUGAUGGUAUCCCUGGUAUUUUCAGAGGCUUUGGCACCUCUGCAGUUGGGGCACUGCCUGGCCGAGUCUUAGCUUUGACUUCAUUGGAAGUGUCUAAAGAAAUGGCAUUCAAAUACUCCGAACAUUAUGAUAUGUCAGAGGCAUCGAGGAUUGCUGUAGCUAAUGGUGUAGCAGGUCUAGUGUCAAGUGUGUUCUCAAGCGCAUAUUUUGUGCCUUUAGAUGUGAUUUGCCAAAGACUCAUGGUUCAAGGACUACCAGGAAUGCCGACAUACCGAGGACCAUUUGAUGUGAUAAACAAGGUUGUCAGGACUGAGGGGCUCCGUGGCCUUUACCGAGGUUUUGGAAUCACAAUGUUGACUCAAUCUCCGGCCUCUGCCCUUUGGUGGAGUGCAUAUGGUGGAGCUCAACAUGCUAUUUGGAGGAGUUUGGGUUAUGGAAUUGAUUCGCAAAAGAAACCAUCUCAAUCAGAACUUGUUGUUGUCCAAGCAACAGCAGGAACAAUAGCUGGUGCUUGCUCAUCAAUAAUCACUACACCAAUUGAUACUAUUAAGACACGACUUCAGGUGAUGGAUAACUAUGGCAGAGGCAGGCCAUCUGUCAUGAAAACAACCAGGGUGCUGCUUGAGGAAGAUGGAUGGAGAGGUUUCUACAGGGGGUUUGGACCACGGUUUCUUAACAUGUCUCUCUGGGGUACAUCUAUGAUCGUAACAUAUGAGCUGAUAAAGAGGCUCUCUGUCAAGCCAGAGGGUUCUGUUCCAACUAGAUGGUGAAAUAUUGAAGAUCCACAAUCCUUAUCUGUGACGGGCUGAUGGCAAUCUAGCCAGUUCUUUUUCAAGAUUGGAAUUGGCAAGUAACAUCAUCCAGUCAAGAUAUUUUGGUGAUGCAAACUGUUCUCUUCAAAAGCAAAAGGAUUAGCAAGAUGUAAUGGCCUGAGGUUUACCCUGGCUACUGGGGCACCAUGUACGCGGCUCAUAAAAGAUUUUGACAAAGAGCUUUUGUAUCUCUCUCCAUAAGGCAACAAGUUCCCACAAUAUGACUUGGUUGAAUUUGUUAUAUCAUUUUUAGCAGAUUCUCGCUGGCUAGCUAGUAUGGCCUUGAGAUGGAUGAUGUAUCCAAACCAAUCUAAUGGAAUCUGUAGCGGCUUAAUGUAGUACUUUCUUCACAUUGUCUGAAAAACAUCGGUAUGUUUUUGGCAAUGUAGUUCUUCAUAGCCUAGCCUCUUCAGAGAUUUUUUUUUUGGGGAUUCAUUUGGUUGAUUGUUUAGAUGUUUCGAAUUUAAUUAGCGUGAAUCACUGAAGAUAAAUCUAU